UAUAAAAUCGCCCAAGACCAUAAUAAGUCCUAAAGACUAUACAUGUAUUCUCUACUGACCUAGACUAUGCAUAGAUUAGUAUGAUAGAGGCUAAAAGCCUGCGAAAAUAUACACUUUAUGGCACGACCGGAUUGGCCAUCCUGAUCCAAACAUGAUGCGAAAAUUGAUGUUCAAAAGGCACACAUUAAAAGAUAAGAAGAGUUAUCCCAAAGAAUCUCACGUGUGUAUCAUGUACAGAAGGGAAACUCAUUAGGCCAUCACCAGUAAAACGGCUACGAGCCCCUUUUUCAUAAUAAAGAAUAUAUGUCUAGAUAAUACUGGUGAAUACAUGUCCCAAGCGUUUAAAUGAUUAUGGUAUGUCCAUGGGGGUAAGUGUGCACAAUUCUGUGAUACAUGUCCAUACCAAGAACGGAUAGACCAUAACUUAUGAGGUCAAAACUCCCAUUCACAGCUUGAGCUACGCGAAAUUUACAUGCACCUAAGUUAAUACGCAUCAGGCCAUUUAG
rnacentral:lncRNA from 1 species